CCCAGACUCCUACGGGAGGCAGCAGUGGGGAAUAUUGCACAAUGGGGGAAACCCUGAUGCAGCGACGCCGCGUGAGUGAGGAAGUAUUUCGGUAUGUAAAGCUCUAUCAGCAGGGAAGAAAAUGACGGUACCUGACUAAGAAGCCCCGGCUAACUACGUGCCAGCAGCCGCGGUAAUACGUAGGGGGCAAGCGUUAUCCGGAUUCACUGGGUGUAAAGGGAGCGUAGACGGCCAGGCAAGCCUGGAGUGAAAGCCCGGGGCCCAACCCCGGGACUGCUCUGGGAACUGUCCGGCUGGAGUGCGGGAGGGGCAGGCGGAAUUCCUGGUGUAGCGGUGAAAUGCGUAGAUAUUAGGAGGAACACCAGUGGCGAAGGCGGCUUACUGGACGGCAACUGACGCUGAGGCUCGAAAGCGUGGGGAGCAAACAGGAUUAGAUACCCCCGUA
rnacentral:rRNA from 1 species